UCUACUCUUUCGUGGGGGAUAACGUAGGGAAACUUACGCUAAUACCGCAUACGACCUACGGGGAAAGCAGGGGACCUUUUAGGCCUUGCGCGAUUGAAUGAGCCGAUGUCCGAUUAGCUAGUUGGCGGGGUAAUGGCCCACCAAGGCGACGAUCGGUAGCUGGUCUGAGAGGAUGAUCAGCCACACUGGAACUGAGACACGGUCCAGACUCCCACGGGAGGCAGCAGUGGGGAAUAUUGGACAAUGGGCGCAAGCCUGAUCCAGCCAUACCGCGUGGGUGAAGAAGGCCUUCGGGUUGUAAAGCCCUUUUGUUGGGAAAGAAAAGCAGCCGGCUAAUACCCGGUUGUUCUGACGGUACCCAAAGAAUAAGCACCGGCUAACUUCGUGCCAGCAGCCGCGGUAAUACGAAGGGUGCAAGCGUUACUCGGAAUUACUGGGCGUAAAGCGUGCGUAGGUGGUUGUUUAAGUCUGUCGUGAAAGCCCUGGGCUCAACCUGGGAACUGCGAUGGAAACUGGGCGACUAGAGUGUGGUAGAGGGUAGCGGAAUUCCUGGUGUAGCAGUGAAAUGCGUAGAUAUCAGGAGGAACAUCCAUGGCGAAGGCAGCUACCUG
rnacentral:rRNA from 1 species